AGCGAACGCUGGCGGCGUGCUUAACACAUGCAAGUCGCGCGGGAAAGGGAGCUUCGGCUUCUGAGUAGAGCGGCGAACGGGUGCGUAAGACGCGGGUGACCUAUCCUUGAGGCGGGGAUACCCCUUCGAAAGAGGGGCUAAUACCGGAUGAGCCCACAGGCAGAGAUGCCAGGGGGCAAAGGAUGCUACUUGAUAGUGGCAUGUCUUCAGGGAGGGGCCCUGGCCUAUCAGCUAGUUGGUGUGGUAACGGCGCACCAAGGCGAAGACGGGUAGCUGGUCUGAGAGGAUGGCCAGCCACACGGGGACUGAGACACGGCCCCGA
rnacentral:rRNA from 1 species